AACGAACGCUGGCGGCGUGCCUAACACAUGCAAGUCGGACGAGAAAGUUUCCUUCGGGGAAGCGAGUAAAGUGGCGCACGGGUGAGUAACACGUAGACAACCUGCCUUCCAGUCCGGGACAACCUUUCGAAAGAAGGGCUAAUACCGGAUAACACUUUGGGCCGCAUAGGCCUGGGGUUGAAAGAUUUAUCGCUGGAAGAGGGGCCUGCGGGACAUUAGCUAGUUGGCGGGUAACGCCCACCAAGCGACGAGUCUAGCGGGUCUGAGAGGAUGAUCCGCCACACUGGAAC
rnacentral:rRNA from 1 species